AAAAAGUCAAAUCAAAGACUCAAAUCGGUAAAACACUUAACAAAUUACACAAAAGUGUACAGCAGUAAAAACGUAAGGAACACAGCCACCUUCGGGUUUUUCGUACUCUCACAAAUACAAUAAGCGCAUGGCAUAGUAUGCGAGCCGCUCGCAUAAACAAUGUUAAGCUACAAAGAGCUGGCUCAAUUUAUACUACUCCAGGGACUCGACUGGCGUAAAUUUGGAUGCUAUUAGUUACUUGAAUAUAAUAACUCACAAAAUAUUAAAAAUUGUACAGCAGUAAAAACGUAAGGAACACAGCCACCUUCGGGUUUUUCGUACUCUCACAAAUACAAUAAGCGCAUGGCAUAGUAUGCGAGCCGCUCGCAUAAACAAUGUUAAGCUACAAAGAGCUGGCUCAAUUUAUACUACUCCAGGGACUCGACUGGCGUAAAUUUGGAUGCUAUUAGUUACUUGAAUAUAAUAACUCACAAAAUAAUAAAAAUUGCAAAGCAGUAAAAACGUAAGGAAUGCAGCCAUCUUCGGGUUUUUCGUACUCUCACAAAUACAAUAAGCGCAUGGCAUAGUAUGCGAGCCGCUCGCAUAAACAAUGUUAAGCUACAAAGAGCUGACUCAAUUUAAACUACUCCAGGGACUCGACUGGACACAAGCGUAAAUUUGGAUGCUUGAGUUACUUGAAUAUAAUAACUC